rnacentral:snRNA from 1 species
GUGCUCGCUUCGGCAGCACAUACACUAAAAUUGGAAUGAUACGGAGAAGAUUAGCAUGGUCCCUGUGCAAGGAUGACAUGCAAAUUCGUGAAGCAUUCCAUAUUUUU